UUUUUUUUUUUUUUUUUUUUGUUAUACCAUUUCUUGUAACAUGAAGAUACUUUUUUAUGUACUUGGGAAUUUUAGGCAUAUUUGGGUGAGAAGAGGACAAAAUACUUAGGUUGUGUUUGGAUUGCAUUUUUCAUGAUUUUUCAUAGAAAAAUUACUGUAGCGAUUUGAUGUAUGUGAGGGAAAAAGGUAAUAGGAAAAUGUGAUUACGAAAAAUAACGUAAUUUUUCGACGGAAAACAGCAAUCCAACACAAGACCUUAGGUUUUUAUAUAUACUAAAAAAAACUCCACACUCAUAUCUACUCAAUAAUCAAUUACACAAAGAUAACAAUAGAUAGCAAGCCAAAUUCCUAAUGCGUGCAUUGAAAUGCCAUCUAUCUAAUCAUAUCAAGGCUUUAAAUUUAGAACUUUAUUAUUUUGAGUCGCCGAAAAAUGACAAAUAUUGGGGAUGGAGGUAUUGAUUAGUAAAGUAAACAUAGGAAAUACAAAGAAAGCAAGACAGAAGGAAAAAGAAAAUUCGUAAUGGUAGCUUCCUAUACCAAUUAGAUAUAUGUGUAUAGUUACAUAUAUGUAUUCUUUAUUGCUCAUCAGAUAUUACAUUUUUCAUUCCAUAAAAUAAGUAUACAUUAGUAUUUUGGGAAUUUACAUAUUUUGUCACAUUUUUAAUGUUAUACUUCUUUACACUACGUAAUAGAGUGACACAUGUAUGUUUAUUUUACAUUAAGGAUCGUUGCGGAUCAUGUAAGAAUAGUUGGUGGAUGAUGUCUUCUUACUAAUAUUACGUCAAAAGGCACCAGCUCAUGUAAUUCUUUUUCACAAGAAAAGUGCAAUGGCUGAGUUUGUUCACGAGAAACCAGCUCAUGAAAUUCUUUUUCAUAAAUGACCACGUGGAUUCUCAAACCUGCAGAGAUUAUAAAGCCAAAGGCUACCAGGUGUAUAUACACAAGCACAAAUGGAGAGAUUCUGGAAUUCGUCCACGAAAAUAAGGAGUCAUUCUCUUGUUUUACAAUAAGAAGCCAAAGAUCAAUAUUCCAAGUUCAAGAGACAGGUUUGGAAGGACCAAAACCUUUAGAGAAGUUCAAAGAAGCUGCACAACAAGUGUGCAUGACAGCCAAAAUAAUGACUACUAUCGACACCAAGGCUGAUAUAAGGAGUAGGAGGUCAAGCAUAAUUGUUUCUAACAAUCUGCAGGUAUAGAAUCAGUCUUCAACAGUCUUCCAUCCAUGGACAUGAGACAUUUCAUGUUUGGAACACAAGAGACAAAGUCUUGGGGAGCGCAGAGCCGCAACACAUUUAAACUGUUCUCAAAGAGCAAUUGAUAUUAGUACUAUGAAACACAUUGUACAAGGGAUGAAACAGCAUAGGAUUCACUGCACUUCAUGUCAUAUAGCAACAGAUAAUCACCUCAGGGCCAUAAAUUAAUAUGAAAUGCAGUUUUUCCUAUUUAAAAAUCCCCAUCAGAAGGUUGAUGAGUACUUUAUGGCUUCUUUAGCUGAGGACAAGCAAGACAAUUCCAAGCUGUUUAUUUACUAGUAUGCCAAACCAAAGCGCUAACCUUAAUCUUGGUUCUCACAAAGAACAAUAAAAAAAAUCCAGAUCUUAUUAGACCUCCCAAUUUGCCCAAAACUAAGAAAGAAAAACUAAUUGAUCAGUGACAAGAUGGCAUGAAAAGUAUAGCAUAUAGCUACAUACUAGGUUGGCAAAAUCUAUCUAGCAACUGAGACACUAGAUUUUAUUUUCUAAACUAAACAGUAGCAAGAGAGAAUUUACAUUAAGUGCAAAAUGAGAGCAAAAAAAAUACUAGUUGGAGGAAGGAAUGAGAUAACACUGAGCACUUAGAAGUCCAGAAAUCCCAAAUCGCUUGAUAAAUAAUUCCAAAUUGCUUCACCAACAAGUCCAAAUUUGAAAAUUUGAAUGGACUAACAGGGAAUACUUGAUUUUAUGCAAGACAAAUACUGGAUUUCAUGAAUGGAAUCUAAGCGAUGAGUUUACAGGGAAGCUCUGAAACUAGGAAAUGUUCAAAUUUUUUUUGGGGGGGGGGGGGGGGAGUGGAGGAAACUCAAGAGUCUGGCAUUUGUGUCUUAAGUUGGGUUUGUUUGAUUACAGCAGGUUGAAGUUCUUUUUCUUGCCAGGGCGAGGGCUGCUUUGGCUGGAGUUUGCAGCAACCAGGCAAAGAGCUUUGAGCUUCAACGGGCUUUGUGCCUCUGUUUUCUUGUUCUAGUUUGGACAAGUUUACCUGUUUUCUUGAACUACAAAUUGUUCAAGGUCUAAUAAGCUAGCAGUACUAGAGAAUUACUGGCGUUCUCCUGGUAGAAAGUCCUUUUUUCUACUAUGGACGUCAUAGUAUCAACAAAAGUCACAGUGAUUUGGAGCUAAAUUACACUUUUGCAUCAUGAAUAAACUGUCAAAGAAGAACCACUCGAAUGUAUGCAAUUUUAACAUCGUACAAAAGUGAACAUGAAGCCAGCAGAGAGAUUAGUCCCUAAUUCUUCUGUUGUUGUAUUCCCAUUUUACCUUAAAUUUGGCAAGCGACGAGAUUGAAACCAAUUACAGGGUCCACCUGUUGCCAAAUGUAUACUGAUUUAUCUUCAAUUUGUGAUCAUGGAAGUAGCUUCACUAUCUCAUGCUUUCUUGUAUAGAUACUCCUUUAUUUCAUGCUUGUACAGAGAAGUUGAUGGUUAGGCAUUCCCCUUAUCUGGUGUAUGUGAUUUUGCUAUCGAUAAAGAUAUAGAGAUUACAUAAAAUAAAUAAGAAGAUAAAUAAACACACAAAAAAUAAUGCAAUUUUGAGCUGCCGACUCUAACAUCAUCAGUUAUCAAAUGUGUUAAAGAAAGAAAAUGCUGCAAGAAUGAAAAUGUGCUAUAUAUAGUCGAGUGCCACAAAUGCAGAAUUAAGCUGUGUAGAUAGCAAGAAUUGCAUCAGUUGGAAAAGGAGGACAAACCGUUUUUUUUUCUUUUUUAAUCAAGAUGGUAGCUUGAUGGUAUUCAAUUGUCUCAUCUCGGUUUCUUACACCUCCUCCUUUGUUCUAUAGCAUCCUUCUCCUCCUUAGAGUAAGGCAAAACUAGGCUUUGUGUAUAAGGAAAGGCAUGAUAAACUUCUAUGUUUUGAUCUCGAAAUGGAAUAUCAACAUAUGCAGCAUUAUCUGGGUUGUAGCGUACCGACUUGGUGCCAGUUGACACUAAAACUUCACCGUCCUCUGACCGGCACAAUGGUCUAGAAAUCCCGCCAGGAUUAUUAAUCAGGAUAGCGAACUGCAUUUUCCACGAUUCUGUAACCCCAUAUAUCUCCAUCAUCCAAACAUCUGUAUGACCAUUAUCCACAGAACAAAGUAAACAAAGCUUUUCUUGGUAAACUUCCAAGACUGGCUCAAACAAAGAUUCAGAAUCUUCAUCACAUUUAAUUUCAGGUUUCUUCAUCUGUUCAGGUUUCUCUAUCCGUCCAUACGUCUCUGUUGUUAAAUCAAGGGAAACAAUAUCUCCACCAGCUUCUGCCUCCAGUGACCAAUGCAACUUCCCAUUCACAAAUGUACCAUCUACCCCCAGCGGAGGAUAACCACCUUGAAAAUCCCCUAUACGCUUCCAAAUUCCUUUCUUGGUGCUGUAGACCUUAACCUUAACCUUAACCUUAACCUUAGGGACUUCGCCAUCCAUGGCCGUAGCAGCGCCUUGGUCAGCCUCGUACGCCACCGCUACUACUUUGUAAUCAUCCUCAAUCUUGUCAUAUCCAAAACCCCAUGAAAAUAUUAAGUACGUCACAACCGGUAAACCUUUAUCUUCCUCUACCCUAAUGCCUAAAUCCGGUACGAUCUUUGAUUUUCGAGUAGAUGGGUUCCACAAAAUUAUUUUAGUUCCGUCAAAGACAAUACAAACUAAUCCAUUACAGCAGCCCACAACUCUGACACCAGUAAAGGGAUUUUUAAAUGGUGGAUAAUUAAUGUCAACAGUUUCAGUACUUGGUGCACACAAUAACGAGCUAAGAGAACACUGUUUGAGACGACAUAAGUUAGGAUCCCACCACAAAAUAAGCACCCUUCGGCUGUCUGUUAAGCUAUUGAUCAAUUUUAGAUGGGCUCUGAUGAAUAUCGGGUCGUCAAUUAAUUCCCUCGCUUGCUUUGAAGCGCAACUGAAUUGCACGAGGGAUUUCAAUGGCAGCCCGGAGAGGAUCUUACACUGUAACACUGGACGUCAAAGGGAAGGUCGAAAAGGUUCUCAGGAGGGGAUCGCUUCUCGAAAAGGGAAGGAGGGGAUCGCUUCGGGAAUGCAAGUAUGUUUCCCAUCUGUUUUAAGUGAUUUGCUUUUCGGUUGGAGGAUCUUUUUGCUGCCAAGAAAGGAAGAAAUGGCUGGGCUAGUGUUUCAGAGGAUGCAUGACCUGUUGACUUUCCCGGUACCGGCAAAGACUCCGAGCGGGUUGAAGGCCGCUGGGCAAGUCAGUUGGACUACUGGGACUGGGAGUGCCAAAUUCAGUCUCCUUACGACUACUUAUGUCACAUGAUGUAAAGAAAAUUUAAAAUAAACAACACGUGCAAACUUAAAUAACAUGACAGUUGGUAUAAAUAUAAAAAGGGAUAAUUUCAGAAACCUUCUUGAAAUUUUUAAUAAUUUCAUUUAGCUCCUUUAAGAUUUUAAAAAUUACACAUACCUCCCUUAUCAUUUCAAAAAAUAAUAAUGUCCUUAAAUAUUUUAAUGAAAUUCCCUUGUUUGUUAUGCUUAUACUAAGUAUACAUGACUUUUAAAAUUAUUUUUUCAUUUUUUUCCUUCUUAUUCCUUUUUUUUAAAAUUUUUUUGCCAUUAAAACUAUAGAGCUAUCACUAUUACCUCUAGUUUCUAUUAUAUCCAAAUAUCGAACUAGUGAUUUUUUUUAUGAGUUAACUUAUAUGUAAUUUAAUAUUUUUGCUGAUCUUUGUUUUCUAUUUUUUUUGGUAUUAAAAUUAAUAAUAAAUAAAAAAGAAAUUACCCAAAACUACUACUAAAUUAUGAUAAUUUCACUACUCGAAAAAUUCAUAAAUUCUAAAUAAAUUAUUUCAACAUUUUAUUUUCUAUCUUCUAAAUCUAAAUCCAUAAUAAAAUAUCAUCAAAAAUGACCUAUCAUAGUGAUAAAUUUAUUAUUAUAAUUAUUUAUUAAAUAAUUGGUAUGGACAUGAAAAAAUUUGGCACAUUUUCCUUAAAAUUAUACUAGAUAAUCUUAUAAUUGUAUAAAAAAAUAAAUUAAAACUCAUUAUACAAAGGUGUUUUUCGGUAUUCAUUUAAAAAUUUGAUCAAGUCAAUAUUAUUUUAAGAUUUUGUUAUUAUAACUAUCAAAUCAAAGGAGAUAGGUGUAAUUUUGUUACUAAAACGUAAGUGUAAUAUUUUUUUUUUAAAAUAUGAAAUACACUUAUAAAAUUUAGAUUUUUGCAGGCUCUAGUAAUUUCUAGAUUGAACAUUGAUAGAUUGAGAGUAAUUUGUAGCUUUUAAUUAUGUAUCCAUAGUCACAUUAAGAGUAAUUAUAGUAAUUCACAGUCAUUUGUAAACGAUCUCUGUCAUUUUCUUGGGAGUUCUUUUUUAACUUUUUCAAUAACUCCUCACAUUAACCCAUCCCGCAAAAGUACCCAAAGUGUGUGUACGUAAUGUAGGGCGGUCUCGGCGCCUUCUCUUACCUUACAGAAACAAUAUACAACUACAAGUACUUAUGUACUACUAAUCAAUGCUAACCAAACAACUACACUUAAAAUAGUUGUGAUCAAUAGUGUCUUAACGCUCUAUUUGGGCCUACAUUCAAAUUCAGACUUUUCAGUAAGUGAUUAAGUCACCCCGCGUCCUCUCUUAACCUCUUUGGAUUCCUCUAAUAUGAGUGUGUUCGAUUGUAAAUUAUGUGAGAUAAUUUUGUGAAAAAAUACUGUAGUACUUUUUGAUAUGAUGUAUGUGAGAUAAAAAGGUGAUUCGAAAAUGUGUUGAUGAUGUAAGCAAAUCAGUGUGUGUAAAUAAGGUAUAAAUAAAGUGAAAUAAUUGACAAUCUAGACACACUCAUAUGAGUAAAUCUUUCCUAUACUGACGAUGUAUGAGUAAAUCCUACAUGUACAUGUAGAUCUGAUUACAAGAAUACUGUUUUUUAUCUAACUAUGUAAACUUAGCCAGUUGAACUAGCUCGUAUUUGUUUUUAUAUCAUUUGGCAUGACCAUAUAUCUAAGGUUAAUGACUGUAGAAAACUAAUGAGGAAUAAGUUCUUGAUUUUAUAUGUAGAUUCAGUCAAUAGAGGAGAUUGAUUACCACAUAAAAUACUCUAGUAAUGAGAUGUGAAACCUGUAGGCUGUAAUAAUUAAUGUUUGUUUGUCAUAUAUCCUCCAUCAUGAAUAGAUUCCUGAGCCAAGUCAUUCUUUUCAUUCCAUGAAUAUGGUCUCUAUCCUAACCAGUAUUUUUUUUUUCCUGAUCUUCCCGUCUCAGUCUAUAAUGUUGCAGAAUAAGAGGCAAUUCUGUUCCUGCUGUGGUGAGUGCUGACUGGACACACACACACACACACACACACACAUAUUUGCUGCUCAUUGCACAACAAACAUCAAGAAGCAAAAUUUCUUUCUAUUUGGGAACAACAACGGCCAGCAGAACAUUUUCUUUAGGUUUUUUUUAUGAUAAAGUGCUUGUGUUCAAUCCCAGAGCUUGAAUACAAAACCUCAUUUUGUCGCACCAAGCAUUCACCCUUUUGUGUUGAGAUUCAAAUUAUGUUUCAGCAGAAGUUUAUACAUGUAUAACCUCAUUGUUUAACAAAGUGAAAGCUGUGACUUACAUGAAUAGUUUAGUUUUGCCCAAGCGAUCAUGGAAACAAUUUUGGAAAAUAAUAGAUCAGCAAUCAAUUUCAAUCCAGGGGAAGGCUAUGUUCUUGUUUUCUCUCGUGAUUUUCUUGUGGAGUGCUUUUUAGUCUUGUCAACCUCACCACUUACUGACCAGAAAUCCAUGGUGUACUUGCGCUGUGCUUUAAUUGGCCCUUCAACAUGUUAUAAUUUGUGAUCUCGUGAAACCUGAAUGAUGCAUCAUCUGGAUUAUAGGGAAAAAACUGAUCCAGAAAGCAACAAAAUGUUUCGCCCGCCUCUAAUAGGCAGAAUGCUGGUGAUCAAGCAUUCAACACCAGAACCAUUUCACAGAGGCAGAACAAGUGCUUCAUUCCAUAAUCUUUCAUCCUAUACUCAUUCAUCAACCAUAUGCUGCCUGCACUACUUGCAUUACUAUCCUAAAGCAGACAAAGAAUGCCUCCCAAACUCCUUAAGCUAAACCACAACCACCAUCCUCCUUUCAUAAUUAGGUAGCUUCCCGAAAUCAAUGUACAGAAGGCCAAAUCAAAGCAGCCAAUAAACCUUCCCGUGUGCAACAACAUGCCUGAGCAGUCCAAACGAACCCAGAGCUCUUGUAAACCCCCGUAAGACUUCAUAAUCAUCGCCGGACUCAUCAUAAAUAAAUCGAAAAGUAUACUCCUAAUUAGGCUAAACUGGAAAACCAGACCUGGUCGACUGCUUAAAUUUUCUAAAAUCACGGGUCCCAGAGAGAUAAAUCAUCCCUAUCCUGAAUAUACAUCAACUCAAUGCAAUAACACAAAGCAAAAAAAACGAGAAAUUUGUUUCAUUGGGUGUCAAUGUCAAUUACAUUGGUGAUUGGUGCAGUUGGUAAAGAUUGAAAAGUACCGUCCUUAAAACAAACAAUUGGUCAGCAAUUGCUAAACAUGAGCUUAAGAUGGCUCUAAUCAUGCUUAUCUAGUGAAAUUUUGAAGAGGAAGGAGAAGGAGAGCGAGGAGGAGGGGGGAGGGAGGUGGCGGCGGCGGCGGCGACGGUGGAGGGAGAUGGGUGGUGGUGGGUAGUAUUUUGAGAUGAUGUGUUUUUUUAGAGUUAUUUUUGGAAUUUAUUACUCUAGAUUUGAAAGACAAAAUUGGUUUAUCAGAAACAUAGCCGAAGUUUUUUAGGCGCACUCCAAUUUUGAGAGAGACUUUACUUGGGAGUCUUUAGAGCAUUUAAGCGAUGAGUUUACAGGGAAGCUCUGAAACUGGGAAAUGUUCAAAUUUUGGGUGGGAGUGGAGGAAACUCAGAGUCUGGCAUUUGUGCCUUAAGUUGGGUUUGUUUGAUUACAGCAGGUUGAAGUUCUUUCUCUUGCCAUGGUGAGGUCUGCUUUGGCUGGAGUUCGCAGCAACCAGGCAAAGAGCUUUGAGCUUCAACGGGCUUUGUGCCUCUGUUUUCUUGUUCUAGUUUGGACAAGUUCACCUGUUUUCUUGAACUAAAAAUUGUUCAAGGCCUAAUAAGCUAGCAGUACUAGGGAAUUACUGGCGUUCUCCUGGUAGAAAGUCCUUUUUCUACUAUGGACGUCAUAGUAUCAACAAAAGUUACAGUGAUUUGGAGCUAAAUUACACUUUUGCAUCAUGAAUUAACUGUCAAAGAAGAACCACUCGAAUGUAUGCAAUUUUAACAUCGUACAAAAGUGAACAUGAAGCCAGAAGAGAUAUUAGUCCCCCUAAUUCUUGUGUUGUUGUAUUCCCAUUUUCAUUCUUGUGUUGUUGUAUUCCCAUUUUCAAUGACGGAGCCAAGGGGCUGAGGGGAGCUAAGUUGUGGUAAUUUUAAUUCAUAAUAUGUAAAUAUAUGUAUAAGACAAAGUUGGUUCCCAUAAUGUAAAAAAUGCUACAGCAAUUAUUCCAAAUAAUACUCUAUCCAAAUAAUAUUCCAUUUCAAGAUCAAAACAUAAAAGGUUAUCAUGCCUUUCCUUGUACACAAAGCCUAGUUUCGCCUUACUCUGAGGAGGAGGAGGAGGCCAUGAGACAAAAGAGGGGGCAAAAGAAACAGAUAUGAGACGAAUGAAUACCAUCAAGCUACCAUCUUGAUAAAAGAAAAAAGGCUUGUCCUCCUUUUCCAACUAAUGCAAUUCUUGUUAUCUACAAAGCAUAAUUCUGCAUUUUGUGGCACUCGACUACAUAUAGCACAUUUUCAUUGUUGCAGCAUUUUCUUUCUUUUUAACACAUUUGAUAACUGAUGAUGUUAAGAGUCAGCAGCUCAAAAUUGCAUUAAAUAUAAAAAGCGUUUGGAUUAUAAGAUUUAAAAAAAAAAUUUAAUUUUGCUUUGCCUGCAUCACACACUCAAUUUUCAACCACCUUUGUAUUUCACAUGUAUCACAUCACAAAAAAUCAGAAAAAGUGUUACAGGAAUCAUCUCAAAUAAAUAUUUCAAAUAACUUCCUAUAAUUAUUUUUUGUGUGUUUAGUCAUUUUCUUAUUUAUUUUAUGUUAUCUCUGUAUAGGCAAAAUCACAUACACCAGAUAAGGGGAAUGCCUAACCAUCAAAUUCCCUGUACAACCAUGAAAUAAAGAAUCAGCAUCUAUACAAGAAAGCAUGAGAUGGUGAAGCUACUUCCAUGAUCACAAAUUGAAGCUAAAUCAGUAGACAUUUAGCAACAGGUGGACCCUUUAAUUGGUUUCAAUCUCGUUCGCUUGCCAACUUUAAGGUAAAAUGGGCAGUGACGGAGUCAGGAUUUUUUUCUUGGGGGCCCAAAAUUUUUUCGAACAAAAUUAUCUUAAUAUGUUAUGUUCAAAAUAAUUUUUAUUUAUUUAAAUAUGUGACAUCUUAAAAUAUCAAAUAUUGAUUUUAAUUAUAAAGGUAUGUCUAUUUCAUAAAUAUGUAACAUAGUCAUAACUAAAUUAAGACAAGAAAUAACCUUUGAUUAAAUAUCUUAUAACAUCACAAAUCACCUAAGUUGCACAUUAUGAAAAGAUGUUCCAAUAUGUCACUUGCGCAAAAACAAAAAUAUAACGAUGCAAUAUAAAUAUAACUAUUUUCAAUUUUAAAAAAGAUAAAAGUUAUGUUAGCAUACCUUGAAAUUUCAUCCUCUUUUAUUAAAAGUAAAUUGAGAUUUACAUUCUUUUAUAGAACUAAAUUCAUGUAUAAUUGAAUCAAUGCUAAAUUUUCGAACAACUUCCUUUUUUUAUGUACAUUGUUAGGCAAUCAUUCAAGAAAUUAUCUUUUAUCUUGUUUUGGAGCUUUGUUUUGAUUAUAUUCAUAAUUGAAAAUGUCCGUUCUAUAGUUGCAGUUGACAUAGGAAGAGUGAGAACAAAUAUAAUUAAUUUGUCAACAACAUGAUAGAUCACUCAAUUUCUUGUCUUCACCAAGCCUUCAAGUAAUUAUUUGUAUAUUUGUAUAUGGGUCAACAAGAGUAUAGAUCACUAAGUUUAAAUUUUUUAUCAAUUAGGCUAAGUUGUAUAUUUGUAUAUGGACCAAUAAAAUAAUUAUUUUUGUUUUAGCCCAUUGAUAAUUAUGAAUUGAGUCUUUUAUUAUAAUAUAUCAAAUUGGGUCAAUUUACUAUGGAUUAUCAAAUUAUAUGUUUAAUUUUUUGAAUGUUAAAUAAUUAGCACAAUAAAAAUAAAUAACUUUUUUUGAAGAAAAAAUUAAAUCAAAGGUGGCUGAUUCAUACACACACAGAUAUAUAUAUAUAUAUAUAUAUAUAUAUAAACUCUAUCGGAAUAUAAACUAAAAUUAUAAAAAAUUAGGGAGAGCCAACUUUGUCUUAUACAUAUAUUUACAUAUUAUGAAUUAAAAUUUUCAAAACUUAAGGGGUCAUGGCCUCCCUCAGCCCCCUUGGCUCUGUCAUUGGUACCAGGGGUGUACAUGGAUCCCGAAGGCGUUAAGUUUAAGGUCUAUAGUUCCAAGGAUGGAACCUGGAAGACUAUAGAGUAUUUUCAAGGUGGUUGCCCUCCGGUGGGGUACUGUGGUAAGUUUGUGAAUGGGAAGUUGCAUUGGUCACUGGAAGGAGAUGCUGGUGGAUAUAUUAUUGAUUCUCUUGAUUUAGCAACAGAGACGUAAAAAAAUUGGCUGUGAUGAAGAUUCUAAAUCUUUGUUUAAGCCAACCUUGGAUGUUUUCCAAGAACUCCUUUGUUUACUUUAUCUUGCUAAUGAUGGUCGUACAGAUGUUUGGGUUAUCAACACAGGGGUACAGAACCCCGCCCAAGAAUGUACAGUAAUUUCGCACAGCAAAGUUCGAAUUAGUGACUUACGCGAUACUAAUGUAUGUGGUCACCAGUUGAGUCCCUGUUGGGGGCUAAAGUUAGUUAGACUACUGGGUGCCAAAUUUCUACUACUUAUGUCACAUGAGGUAAAGAAAACUUAAAAUAAACAACACAUGCAAACUUAAAUAAUAUGACGGUAUAAAUAUAAAAAGGGAUAAUUUCAUAAACCUCCCUUGAGGUUUUUAAAAAUUUCAUUUAGCUUCGUUAACAUUUUAAAAAUUGCACGUACUUCCCUUGUCAUUUAAAAUAAUCAUACUGCUAUUAAAUAUUUUAAUGAAAUUCCCUUGUUUGUUAUGCUUAUACUAAGUAUAAUGACUUUUAAAAUUAUUUUUUCAUUCUUUUUCCUUCUUAUUCCUUUUUUUUAAAUUUUUUUUGCCAAUAAAACAAUAGAACUAUCACUAUUAUGUCUAGUUUCUAUUAUAUCUAAAUAUCGAACUAGUGAUUUUUUUGAUGAGUUAACUUAUAUGUAAUCUAAUAUUUUUGCUGAUCUUUGUUUUCUAUUUUUUGGUAUUAAAAUUAAUAAUAAAUAAAAAAGAAAUGGCCCAAAUCUACUACCAAAUUAUGAUAAUUUCACUACUCGAAAAAUUCAUAAACUCUAAAUAAAUUAUUUCAAUAUUUUAUUUUCUAUCUUCUAAAUCUAAAUCCAUAAUAAAAUAUCAUCAAAAGUAUCCUAUCAUAGUGAUAAAAUUAUUAUUAUUAUUAUUUUAUUAAAUAGUUGGUAUGGACAUGAAAAAUUUGGCACAUUUUCCUUAAAAUUAUACUCGAUAAUCUUAUAAUUGUAUAAGGAAAUAUAUUAAAAUUCAUUAUACAAUGGCAUUUUUGGGUAUUCAUUUAAAAAUUUGACCAAGUCAAUAUUAUUUUAAUAUUUUGUUACUAAAACUAUCAAAUCAAGAGAGAUAGGUGUAAUUUUGUUACUAAAACGUAAGUGUAAUAUUUUUUUUAAAUAUGAAAUAAACUUAUAAAAUUUUAGAUUUUUGCAGGCUCUACUAAUUUCUAGAUUGAAAGUAAUUUGUAGCUUUUAAUUAUGUAUCCAUAGUCACAGUGAGAGUAAUUCAUAGUCAUUUGUAAACGAUCACUGUCAUUUUUUUAACUUUUUAAAUAACUCCUCACAUUAACCCAGCCCGCAAAGUACCCAAAGUGUGUGCGCGUAACUAACGUAGGGCGUCUUCUGUUACUUUACAGAAACUAUAUACAACCACUUUAGUACCACUAAUCACCAACCAACGACAAUUAAAAUAGUGGUGAUCAAUAGAGUCCCAACGAUAAGCCAUCCCCGUCCCCUUUCCCUCCGUUGUUCUCCCUCCCACAUCGAUAGAGAGAGGUGUGUGUGUGUUGGAUAUAAGCUCCUCGGUUCAACCCUUAAGUCAGCAAUUGCCUUUUGGGUUGGGCCGUGGGUUUAGUUUAUAUCUGGUGUGUGUGUGUUUCUUAACUAAGGUACGAGAGAAUAGAGUCCCAACGCUUUAUUUGGACCUGCAUUCAAAAUUCAGACUUUUCAGAAAAGUGAUUAAGUCACCCGGAUUCCUCUCUUAACCUCUUUGGAUUCCUCCAAUAUAGUAUUAGAUAAAAAAUAGUUGUAUAAUAGAAUUUAUCGUAUUAAAAAAAAAAAAUCAAUGCUGGCCGUCUUGGGUUUGGACUACUGUUCAUAAAAUGACUUAAAAGUGGAGGAGAGGGUCAAGAAUUGCGGAGGCCGAAAGAGGCUGUGUUUGGACAGCCAUUUUCUGUCGAAAAUUUGCUAUGUUUUCGUGAGCACAUUUUUCUAUCAUCUUUUUAUUUUACAUACAUCAAAUCGUUACAAUAAUUUUUUUAUAAAAAAUUUAAAAAAAUAUAGUCCAAACACAACUAAUCAUGAUGUCUGCUGUCUAAUCCCAAAAUGUCCCUCUCCGAACCAUCGCUCUCUCUCUCUUUCUCCUGUUUGUUUCUUGUUUCUAGGCUGAUGGCUUCUCUUUUCUCGAGUCUUGAGUGUUGUUUCAAAUGAGAAUAGCCCAUGACACGAAUCCCAACUUCUUCUUCUCGCGGGGCUGCAAUUCUAUUGAUCCUUAAUUAUCCAUUUCGGUGGCUAAUUUUUCAGAAUAUACGUGAAAAAAAACAAUCCGCCAAAUGAAACUCUGACAGGGGUAUUUCUCAAACUAUAACUGCCGUGCUGAAAAAAUAAAUUUUUUAAAUCGCUCUGUCACAAAAUUUUUUUUUUAAAAAGGUCAGCAGCUGCCUAAUUUUUUUUUAAAAACUGACUGUCCCCUUCCGUGCACAGUCAGCACGCCAGAGUACAAGCAGUCAAAAAAAAAAAAAAGUGCCAGGCGGUUAACGGAAAUCGUUACAUCCGUCCUUUUGCAUUUGCUUCUUGAUCUUUUUGUCUACCAUGGAUUGUUUCUCAGACUAAGAGUUUGACGUUCUUGGUAGUAUGAUUUUGGCAAGUAAGUGAUCAAACAGAUGGAUUUUUGUUCCUCCUCUUAGAAGAAUGGUUCAAUUUUCAUCUUCCCCAUCCCCUUCCAGCUUCUUCCUUUCCAAAUUUUGUAUUCUCACUACUUAAUUUUAUCAUUCUAUGAUUCAGGAUUACCUACAAAGUUGCUUAAAAUUUUAUAUCCUCCAGCAUAAUUUUGUCUAUGCUCAGUCUGUGUACUGCAAACUUGUCUAAUAACUGUCCAACUUUGUGGUUUCUACUCUGCCCUUGAUCUGGGAACAUAAAACCUCAGGACCAUGAAUUAAAAGGCAUUUUUCUUCUCUUGUUUCUGGCUGGUGGUACGAGUCUAUUUAAUGGUAAGUAAAAUUCGACCCCUUAAAGCACAAAACACAGCUCAUGAACUUCGGAAAACAGGAAGAAAAUGGACAAUCAUUUUUCAAAAAAUAAAGAAAUUGUGAUCCGCAACUUGGAAAGGAAAAAACUGGAAAAAUACAUUCUGAAACCAAUCAAAAUCCAAAUUUGCAUCAAAAUAAUAAUUUAAGCAUGUGGAAUAUCUCCAGGGAAUUAAAAUCAAGAAAAUUAAACAGGAAUACAUGUGUGAUUUAUUGUCAAAUUACCCCAUAAACUGAGGGUGGGUUAUUAUGCUGAGUAUUGAUCCUCGUUUCUAAUACUACUGUUGGCACUGUGCCAACGAACACUCAGCUGGCAAUGGCAUUAGUCCAUUGAAUCGCUUGGUAUCUUUGCAGUAGUCAUAGGUAGAGCUGGCAAUUUGUCCCAAGUCCCAAUGGGCUACCCAUGCCCAAAGGAACUUUGGGCGGGAUGGAUAUUAUAAUUUGGUAUUGGGUUUAAGUUGGGACACAUCCCAACUAUACCCAUUAAUGAAUGGGAAAGGAUGGGAAAUACUUGGGUACCCAUUGGGCUCAAAUGGCAAGGGCUCCGUUUGGAUUAGCUGUUUUUGGUAGGUGUUUUUGAAAUAUUUUAUUGUAGCAGUGUAUAUGAAAAAUUUUUACUAUAAAUUCUUUUUGAAAUAUUUGAUAUAUUAAUAUGGAUGGGAUGUUUCUUGAGUUAUUGUAUAUUACUGUAACAUUGUAUUUGAAAAACUUAUUUUUUGAAAAAAAGUCAAUCCAAACGGAAUCUUAGAUUCAAAAAUUAUCUUUAACAAUUUUUAUAGUCAUACCAGCGAAUAUAAUCUAGUAGUCUUCCUAGUCAUUAUCCACAAGAAUUUCCAGCAUUUCAGUUAGUUUAGACCUAUCAUCCUUGGACAAUGAUAAGGAUAAAUAUUCAACAUCCUAAGGACCUUGGCCAUCUUGAUAUAUGUUGGAAUAUGGUUGUAUAUCUAUCUUUUUCUUUAUUUGUUAAUCCAAUUUUUGGUGAGAAUCUUGAGUAUAAAGCACUUGCAUGUUUAUUUAAUAAAACUAAAAGAAAUUUAAUAAAUCAAAAAUAUUAAAAUUAUAUAAAAAUAAAAAAUGAAUUAAAGGAAAAAAAAUAUGUAGAAAAUGGAUUUGGGUAUUGGGCGGGAUCAAUCUAAACCCAUCCCAAAAUGAUCCCGCCCAAGUUAAUCCCAAAACACAUAUGGGUAAGGUUGGGCCCAAACCCAUAUGACUCGGUUCCAUCUCAAACCCAAGCAAAUCCCGCCCAUCCCGCCCAUUUUGCCACCUCUAGUCAUAGGGCAUAGGGCAUAGGGCAUGCAUUUUUGUCCGAUCCAAUUCAUCUAUCCUAGGUUGGCAAAGUUGAGUUGACCAUAAGCUGGAGAGGUCCACCAGUUGCCAGGGAAAGGCAGGGCACAUUGCUAAGUGGUCCAUUCCAUGUGCAAGCCCUUGGUCUAAAAUUGCGGAUUCUAAGUCCAGUACGGUAGCGGCCGACAGCUUUUUCUAAUUGUCGGCCGCUACCAAGCACAGUCACGGUUGCCUUUUUUAAAAAAAUUUGCAGUAGCAGCGAUUAAAAAAAAUUAUUCCAAUCAGUACGGCAGGUAUAAUUUUGUAAGUAACCCUUGUCAGACAUACAUUUCAUUGACUUUUUUUUUGGGGUAUAUUCUGAGAAAUUAGCCCAUUUCAGUUAGGCCACUCCAACCGAAUUUUGGACAAUGAUGAAAUAAAAGUCUCAUUUGGAUAGUUACUUUUAAGAGUUUUUAUAAAAAAAUUUAUUAUUAUACUCGAAGUUAAAAAAAAAAUAAAUUGAGAAAGUACUAUAUCAUGACCAUACCAUCUCCGUCAUAGCUUUCAGUGACUUAUCCAUUAGUCAUUUUUAUAUUUCAAAUACUCCCCCCGUCCCACUUUGAUAGUCCUGAAUUCCUUUUUCAUCUGUCCCAAAUUGUAAUCCACUUUCCAAUUGAAUAAUGUAGUUGUAUUUUAAUUUUCCUAAAAUACCCUUAUUCAAUGUAAGUAGUUGUUAUUAUAAACCUACCCCAUUUAAUGAGAGUUGAUUCUUUUUUUACCAUCAAUUCAAGUUCCCAUAAAGUUGUACCAUAUUUAAUGUGAGGGUAUUUUAGGAAAAUAGCAAUCUAAAUUUACUUUUCCAACAAAAUUAACUACUUUUUCUUAAACUGUGUGAAAAAAGAAACAGGACUAUCAAAGUGGGACGGAGGGAGUAGUUAUCUUUAGUCAUGUAAUCUCGCGCAAGUCAAAGUAUCACGUAAUCGGGAGUGGUUAAAUUUCAAUUGCCAUUAGAACUCGUGGGAGAAAGUUUUGUGAUAUUUUCUUUUUAAUCGGAAAUGUACGAGUAAAUUUGUUGUAUCUUAAUAUUAGGUAUGUUUGUUUGGAUAAGAGUUUAUUUGGAUGAUUUAUUUGAGAUAAUUACUGUAACACUUUUUGCAAUGUAAUGUAUGUGAGAUAAAAAGGUGAUUGGAAAGAUAAAAAGGUAAUUGGGAUGAUUUGUGAAGCAAAUUAUUUUUUUUCAAUCUAUCUCAAUCCAAACACAAAUUAUGUGAAAAAACGUAGUACACCUACAAAACAGUAAAAUAGUCUUGUUGUGUCACUUGGGGCGAAAUUCAAUGCCUUCGACAAUAAGGCCUGACUUCCCAUGAAGGCUAAUAAUCUCUAUCAGUCGAGCCUCCACCUGACCAUCAUCUCCUCUAUCAGUAUAAAACUUCCCCAGUUCUAAUUCCAUCCAGCCAUCUGUUCUCAUUUUGGGAAACUUUCCACCAAAUUCUGCUGGAUGAUUCAUACCUUCCCUUGAUACAAGAUGGACAGGUGCAGCUCUUCUUCCGGCCACACCGUCACUCUCAUGGUUUACAAAUCUGAUUAAACUUGUUGCUUGCUCAAUCCCAUAAUACUCCUCUGCUAUCUUGAACACUAGGAAAGCUGCAUAAGUAGUACCAGUAGACAACAUUUGACUUUCUAUCCUGCCUCUGAUAUCCAGCCAACAAACAGCCUUAAGCUUGGCAACCUCUCUGAAUCUGCAAAUGCAAAAAAGAUUGGCACAUUAUAAUCACUUUGAAUCACACUGGCAAAGGAGUUUGGGUGUGGGGUUGAUUGGAGAUAUGAUGAGGAAGAACCUUGAGUCAGGACGAGAUAUCCAAUGCCAGUACCAUGGAUCUCUUGCCCAGGCAAUGAUGAGUUCUCUUGCCCCAACCAUAUAACAUUUCUUUCCACUCCUUUUAUCAACUGAAAAGCUCUGCUCAAAAGUUCAAACCAAAUGGUCACCAAGGGAAAAUGGAAAACCACAGAAUUACAAGUUAUAGCUGGAAAUGGAAUUGAAAGGGGGGCGUUAACCGUGCAUGUAAGGUUUGUGGGAUCUAAGAGAACUGAUAGAAGUUGGAUGAGUGUGAUUAAAUUGCAGAGUUCUGAACAGGAGGCAAUUUGAUCACAAAUUUUGAGUCCGGACCACAUUGUUUUAUGUUGCCUUAAAUAUUCUUAGGGAAAUUUGCCAAAUUGGUUCCUAACAUUUACCAAAAAUACUUUUUUAGUCCCUGACAUAUAAAAUCAGCCAAAAUGCUCCUUCACAUUUAAAUUGUGAGCCAAUUUGGUCCUAUUGCUCGUUUUUGCUCAUUUCUCCGGCUAAAAAUAGCACGCCCCUCUCACGUGGUCAUAUUUUUAGGGGCAAAACCGGAAACACAUUUCAUUACCGGUUGAAAGUAAAAGGAUAGGGGACCGCCACCAAAAUACACAUUUUACCUUUGGCUCUCAAAUUACCCUUUACUCUCUAUGGAGCCACCGGAAAAUGACGCCGUGGCUGUUGCAUCAGCUGAGAAAAUCAUCCUCCGCUGGGACUCCACAGCCUCCGAGGACGCCAGGGACAGAAUGAUCUUCGACGGCGAUCGAUAUGAGAUCGACAAAUACUUCCAAGCCGUGGAUGAAAUCCAACGGUCAAUGGAAUCCGCCAGCAUCUCAGACGACUCUGCUAAGGCCAACAGCGCGAUCCAGAUCACCAUGGCCCGCCUGGAAGACGAGUUUCGCAAUAUUAUCAUUGCUCAAAAUUCCCCUCUUGAAGCCGACACUCUGACCGAUCCCAGCUCUUGUUCCUUCCGCUCCACCGCUUCUAUUGGUAGCAGCGACGGCCACUUGAGCUUGCUGCCGCCGCCCCUGCACACCGAGGAAGACGAUUUCACCGAGACCAGCUUGGCAAGUUUGGUAAAGAAAAUGUGAUCCUUCCAGGAAACUUAGCCUUUCUUUUCGUGUGAUUCCUUUGCCUAAAAGGGGCGGCUCAAGCAUCAUGUAUGGAAGGUGCACAAAGUAUUCAGGAUGCCACAAAAAACUUCACUCAUUCAGCGAAAUCUUCUCGCCAGAUCAGGGCAUAAAGCUUGUGAAUUCUCCAUUUUCCAAUCUAAGGGCAACCAUUCACUCUUAAGUUGAAUUGUCCAAUUUUCAAGAUUGAUUAUAACAAAAUUGUCCAUUCACUCUCAAAUCACCUUUGGCUCCAUAUGCUUGUUAAUUCGGGGAUGCAAAUAGGGUUUCUUGAAAGGGUAAUUUGAGAGCCAAAGGGAAAGGGUAAUUUGAGAGCCAAAGGUGAAAUGUGUAUUUUGGUAGUGGUCCCCUAUCCUUUUACUUUCAACCGGUAAUGAAAUGUGUUUCCGGUUUUGCCCCUAAAAAUAUGACCACGUGAGAGGGGCGUGCUAUUUUUAGCCGGAGAAAUGAGCAAAAACGAGCAAUAGGACCAAAUUGGCUCACAAUUUAAAUGUGAAGGAGCAUUUUGGCUGAUUUUAUAUGUCAGGGACUAAAAAAGUGUUUUUGGUAAAUGUUAGGGACCAAUUUGACAAAUUUCCCAUAUUCUUAAUAGCAGCGUGCAUUACGGAAGAGAUGAAUCCUCUAUGGUUCUGCUUUCAUUUUCACACUUCUUCAUACAACCGGAGGAUGCCUUUCUUAAUUCCUACUCGGAUCAGGCUAAUUUUACUUCUGUCUUAGCUGUAACAGCACAAACAUUUGAUCAAGGUUUCAAGCACAAGAAAGAGUACAAACAUAUAAAUAAAAAAAAAUGCAUCACAUUAGACACAAUGAUUACUCUUGUCAAGUUUGAGAGCAAGAUAUUACUUCAAUGUCAAUGCAAAUAAGUUUUAAGUAUCAAAGAAAUCAAGAAAAUAAGAACUCAAUAAACAGUUAAUAUGGUAUCUCUAAGCUUUAUUUUUAACAUUUCACCUUAAAAGCUUACCCCAACAACUUGGCUAUAUGUAUUGAAUUGGCACAAAUUGUAAUUUUCUGAGCAAAUUCAUACUUCCAAAGAAUACCGGGGACUACUGCCAUAACUUUAUCUACUAGUCAGCCAAAAUCAAAUCAUAGAGAACAAUUUAUUAACUACAAAAUCCGAUAACAGAAACGGAUAAGGGGUACCAUUCUGCCUCCAUCAAGGAGAAGAGGAGAAUCACAGAGAGAAAAGUAGAGGGCCUUUUUGGUUGUGCAAUCAACAGCAGAAUCUGAUCUUGAAAUGAUAUCUUGAUAAUCAGAUGGUAGAAAUUUCUCCCAAAUAGUAUCAGAAUCAGCAGCAGGCUUGAACUCUUUUGAGACAACUGACGUUCUGAUCACAUCCACAGGUGAAGUGAGUGAUAGAAUCUCAGAUAUGAAGCCUUCUGGCAAUCUGGCAAAAGGGCCUUCCAUCUCAUAGGACAGCUGCUCUUCCACUGUUCUUCUUGCUUAACGUGGAAGUGAUGACUAGCCGACUGAACAAAGGCAAAUUCUAAUAGAAAAUAGCAAAGGAAUAGAGAAUAGAGUCUUAGCAGUUUUGAUUCAAUAAUCUGUAAUAAUUUUUAUUUUUCACGUCCUCUAUUGGUUACAAAAUAUAUACACGUCCUGUCCUUUACUAACGAUUGAUUAAUAAGCCUUAACCUUCUUCUGUUCUGAUGAUGACAAUUCUCCACUCAUAGCUUCAAAUUUGGCUUUUCACAAGGAACAACUCUACUCUUUGGGACAACAAAUUCAUUUCACAGAGGUUGUUGUUGCAUCAUCAUCAUUAGAAAAUGGAGGGCCACAAACAAAGAAACAAAGAUGUGUACAUCCACAUCUAUGGACUACAUAUAUGACACUACUACUGAAUACUGAUCCCUGUCCCAUCCCACGUAGUAAUUGGCUCAUGAUCCCACGGACCAAUCUUUCUGGCAUCUCUGCAUCAAUGCCAAUCUGUGUUUGCAGUGACAGGUUUGGUUUUUGGUAAAGUGUUGCUUUCAAUGGUGCGAAAAUUCUCGUAUUCAAUUGUCACUAAACAUGAUAUGCCAUCGCUUUUGCAUCCAGGUGUCAUCAAACUGGCUAUUGUUUUUAGUCAUCCGAUUCCUUGGAAGUAAUAAAACUGUUUUGUUUUUGUCAAAUGUCAAUAGCUUGAUGAGGAUGGAAUUGGAAUCCUAGUCUCUCUGUUUAGCAAAGCUAGCUGCCAAGCUUAGCUCUCAAUCUUUGACUGUCCUCCUGUUCUUUCACUGGCUGGCUUAUUUUUAACUUAAACUUUUCUGGUCAAUCUUUCACAUGCAUGGCUGCAAUCUUUUUCUUUUCUAAAAAAGAUUUAAGUAGUAGUAAACAAAUUGAUAGGGUGCAUUUUAGUGGGAUAUUUUGGACAUUAUUGCACAAUUAUUUGACUAAGUAUUUCAUUAAUUGGGUGGAUUCUACUCAGAUAUAAUUUUGGUGCUAAUUGCAGGAACUGAUGCUGAAAAAUGCUUAAAAUAAAAAUUUAGAGGAUUCAUCGUACGUGAAGCACUUCAAACAGUGGAGUCCGCUUGAAAAGCUGAAGAAAUUAAAUUGUAAUAAACUUUAUUUUAUUUUAUUUAGGGAGUCUUGUUUAUUUUGAAUGCCAAUUUCCGAUAAGAGGAGAUCCUUUCCUUGAAUUUCGGGGCUACCAAAACAGAAGGGAGGAAGUAUUAGACUCCCAGGGGACUACUUGUUUUUGGGGAGAUUUUCGUUUGGCUGAGGUUUCUUUUUUCGUUUUGCUUUUGAAUUUCGUGGGCCGUGGCUUUGAAAACAAUCAGGAGAUAAAAGCCACCGGUGUUGACCUUGUCAAUGUUUUUUUUUUUUCCAUUGGGUAUUGACGGAAUUGAGAAAGCAAGCAAAAACCCUUUUUUUUUCUCGUAUGUUUUGUUUAGCAACUAGGAGAAGCAAAAAAAAACUAGGAGAAGCAAACGAGAGCCGCCAUUGUGGACCCUUUGGCUUUGCUUUUCACUUGAUCUUGACCGAAAUUGGAAGACACAUCAUACCAUCUUAUUCGUAUGCUUUUGAGAACAAUUGGAAGCAAUCAAAUUCUGUUACAAAAAGGUUAACCUAUUCAUACAAGGUCCAGAAAUUCCAUAACAAACGCCCCUCCUUAGAGGCCGACGUCCCCGACGGCCUUGUAAUUUUGGGACUCCCCCUUCAUCGAGGCAGAGCCUCUGCGAGAUUCGAACCUGGGACGUUGGGUUCGUUGCUUGGCUCUAAUACCAUUGUUACGAAAAGGUUAACCUAUCCAUACAAGAUCCAGAAAUUCCAUAACAAAUUCCUUGCUUUUUUCUCUUGUUGUUGACCGAAACUGGGAGAAGUGAUUUGAAAAUGUUUCCAAACUCCACACGCGCGGCUUGUUCUCUAAUUAUGGGGAACUAAACUCCUCAUUCUAGUCAAGGGGGCAACUGACGAAUUGGUUCAACAAUUACUGUAAAAUCUAAACCGUUUUUAAUUAUUUUCUUCAUUUAUUGAUUUUUAUAUGUUCCCUGCUUUUAAUUGUUAUAGCCCUUGUGUAUGAUUGGUUAGUGCGCAAUAAUUAAUUAUUCAUAUAGACUAUUUUGCUAAAUAGAGGUAAUUGAAUCCGUAAUUGUUCGUUAUCUCUAUCUCAAUAGCAACUGGCGUAAUUGGAUUUAUAUCAGGGGAACAUACAAUCUAAUUUAAACAAACCCUCGUAGCGUGUUUGUUAGUUAGGAUUGGACCUUUCUAAUUAUUAAUGCAAUCUAGAAAUUAAAUCUCACGGUCGUACCUAAUGUUGUUUUUGGAUUAGAGAAAUAGUUAACGGUCGUACCUCAGCUAUCGAGAAAUUAAGGAAAGGUUGGUUGUUUAUCGCGUGUAUGACAACUAUAACCAAUCUAUUAAUAAAUGUGAAAUUAUCUGUGAAUCGAUGAUCAGUGCAUGAACCAUUUCUGAAGUGUACCCUUGACUAGAGUUCUCUUAAUUAUUUCUCUUAAGUAAUUAUUUUCUGCAGUUAAUUUAUUUAGUUAGCAUUUAAUCGUGAAAACCCCCAUUUGUCUUGACUCGAAAGGAAACAAAUUUUUCUCCAGUCCCUAAGGAGACGACCCUACUUACCACUGUCUACUAGUUAGUGAAUUCAGUUAAAUAAUUAAUUCAGGUAUAUCGGAUUAAGCAAACUCUACUCUUCGGGAACAAGGUGAAUCAAGUAACCAAUUGCACACCUAGAGUUCCUGCUCCAGUACUAGAAUUGAUUAUUGACUGCUUCAGGUGGUAGUUAGAUUUUAUUUAUUAUUAUUGCACAUGUUCGGCACUUAUCACAAAUUUCACACGUAUAACUCCAACUUUUGAUUACUCACCGUCUUCGUCUUCACCGAUUAGAGUAGAUUAAACUUGUACUUCACAUCUAAUAUUCUUGUUAAUUCUGCCUUGUCAAAGAAUUCCUCCAUAUUGACCCAUUCACUAAUGAAACCACCAUAGCUUCUCACAUGAUAAUUGUUCACACAAUUUCCAAAAAAACAUCAAAUCAUAUCUUUCUUUUUGCCAAUUAUUUGCAAUUCCACAACUCUUCAGAAGGAAAAAAGAAAAUAUAGUUUUGUUUUUCUUGUCCUACAGCCUAAAGCAGCAUAUGCUCCGUAUCGAACAUCAUAAUAAACAUCAAUGUACCAAGAACAUUGCAUAAAACCCAAAACAUGUUUUGACAGUCCAUGGAAACAAAAGAAAAAAAGAAAAAAAAGAAAGAAUGAUAAAAAUGGUUCAAUAUUAUAAAUAACUAAAGUUAUGUUUGAGUUAGUUCUUAGAAUCCUUUAUUAAUAAAUUCAUUUUUUUUUUUUACAUUUCUACAUAAUACUCUUGGGCUUUUAAAUUUUUGCCAUAUGCUUGUGAUAGUAAAAGCUAAAAACUAUUAAGAACACCGGACUGUUAAUUCAGCUGCUAUAAAAUAGACGUGUACACCUAAAAGAAAUGAAAGUACACACAUAAUGAUAGUUCCCAAAAGCAUGGAGAAAGCUAUGCCCCACAACUAAUAGGAAAAUUCUAUGGUCCAUUUAAGUGCCAUUCUCUUUACUUGUAUCUCUCUGGAGAUAAUAAUUUUAAUUUUUAAUUUUUAAUUUUUAAUGAUGUUUAAUCUAAGAUUCAAUAACACUUUUUUCACCAUUCCACGAUGAAUUUCAUUUGUACAUUCCCUCUACUUGUAUAUGACUUGAGAUAAUAAAUUUAAAUUUUAAAUAUUUAAGAAUGUUUAAUCUAAAGGUCAAUAACACUUCUUUUACUAUCUAACGAUAAAUUUCACUUGUGAGUAUGAUACCCAAAAGAGACUGCAAAAUCUUCUCAAUUAAUAACUAGCUAAUGCUAGCCAAACUUAUUAUUACUCUCAAUGUAGGGAUAAAGAGAUUCUAGUAUCCGUUGAACGGUACAUUAUACAUGUUAACGUAAUAGAUGUAGAUACUAAAAUAAUAAAUGUUGACAUUUCAUUGAAGUAGAAUUCAUCUCUAGGGAGUAAAAUUUCCAAAUUUAAAUUUUAAAGACUAAAGCAGACGCCCAUAGUUUAAAGGUCCAAAGUAGCACAUAGUCUUAUUAUAUUUUAGGAUAGUUGGGGAACAUGCACACAAGCCUGUACGUGGAACACUAUCGGCCCUUAGAAUAGGCUGUAGAGGAGAUUUUUGUGCAUGACCGUGUUUCAAAUGUCUUUUCAAAUUAAUGUGACAGAAAAAGUUGUAUUUUUACUUUAUUUUAUUUUGUUGUUUCUUGAACAGACCUGUUGCAUCGGGUGAAAACUGAAAAUGGACUUGCUUCUUAAGGCUCCAUUGCACGAGUUGCAAAAUGUAAUUUGAUAAAGGAUGUAGAGCAAAUUUUGCAAUCAAUUCCAUGUCACAAUCUCAUUUAUCAUGGCCUCACUGAUCAUCACUUUGCAAUGACACAAAGGAUCUCGCAGUCAAAUUUGAUAAUCAACAACUUACAGCAUCUGUUCUCUGAUGCCAGCUCUAUUCACUUUUUCUUGGCUGAUUUCCAUUUCUAACAGGUUAAAAAUAUAUGUAUUGGUACUUGGUAGUACACAAUCUCAGGUAGACGCUGUAAUAUCUUGGUGAUGGAUCAGAUAGAUUGGCAAUGCCCUUAACUUAACUCAGCAAACAUAUUUGCAUCCUAGAAGUCCCAUGCACGUUCAAUUUCAACAAUUGCAGUCCUCUUGGUACCGGCUUUGUUUGGAUUGUAUUUUUUAAAGAAAAAUUACUGUAAUGAUUUGAUACAUUUGAGGUAAAAAGGUGAUUGAAAAAUGUGUUUACGGAAAACGUAACAAUUUUUCUUUAGAAAAUUGCUUUCCAAACGAAGCUAUUAAUAGAACAGGGCCCUUCAAAUAUCAUAGCAUAGCAAAGCUAGCUAUGAUCCUUUGUUCUGUUCUUAUUACAUUUUUCCUUAUUUACUUACAACCUUCCAGGGGCAAGCCCAAAAGCUGAAAGCAACAUAUACUUGCAAAGGUAAAGCAACUUCCAGCAUCAUCAGUUAAAUCCUGAAAUGAUAAAUUUGCAGAUUCUCGACUUCAAGUUUCUUGAAAUUACUGCGCCUUCUGGAUGAGAAGAACUUCCCCCAGUUAUACGCCUUAUACUUGGGAGGAGGAUUUUGCUCAUUGAUCAGCUCCUCCAGAGGUUCAACCCAAGUAUAAUAUGCUGGAUUGAAGAAAAGUGGAAUCGAAAACCUUUCCUUCUCAGAAUUCACCAUCACCCUGUGCUCUACACUCUCAUAUUUGUCAUUGCUCCAUACCUGCCAAAUUUUUACACAUAAUCAGGCUAACUUAUGGUUCAUUUGCCUCUAAAGAAAUCCCCCGAACCAUGAUAUUUGUGGUCACCUGGACAAUGUCGCCGACGUUGAUGAUAUAGGCAUCGGGAGUUGGUUUGACAAGAAUCCAUUCUCCAUCUGUUUUCCUCCUGACUUCAAGUCCCCCAACAUCAUCUUGAGCCAGAAUUGUCAAGGCACCACCAUCCUUGUGCCUACCAACACCUAGUGCUAAGUCUGGGGUGGGACAGGGUGGAUAGUGAUUGAGCCUAAUUCUGCUGGUGUGAUCCUUAAAGAAGCCAUUCAACCUAGUCUUUGGCAGCCCCAAACUCAGAGCUAUUAGCUCCAAUAACUUGAAUGCCAGUUUCAGUAUUUCUUCAGCAUAUAAUUCAUAUGCCUCCCUGAAAAAGGAAGGAAAAAAAAAAACCAAGAAACUUUACUUUAUCUAACAAUAUGUACAGCACAAGGGACCUUUUCUUAUUAAAACACCCUAGGUAAAAUAGGUCACUUGCAAGUCUAAUUUUCCUUCCCAUUCUGCUACUCCAUCUUUGCAACUACCCUUCUUUUUCUCCUUAAAAUUAUGCACAAACUACAAUAUUAGAUAUUCUUUAAGCAUAUAUACUUGUUAAGAACACUACUACUUUUGACAUCACAGAUUAGAUCAAGCCAGAAUCUCUAGUAAACGUACAAGAAAUUUGUCAUCAUGAAUGCAAGCUGUACAAGAAUGCAAAAUUGUUCGUGCAUACCUUAGUUCUGGAAAAUUUUGAGGCCAUUGAUUAGUCAAUUGCCUGAGCUCCUUAUCAUCAGGUUGAUGGGAAGCAGGAACAAAAGUGGGAUCAUCCACACUGAUAUCAAAGACCUCUUUCCAGUCUCUAACAUUCUUAGUAAGCUCUGUAUCAUAAUAUCCAAAGGGAUUCACUUCAUCUCUCUUAACCUUGAGCUUCUCCUCUUUAGGCAAGGCAAAGAAUUUUCUUGAUGCCAAAAAGAAUUUUUCGCGAUAUUCAGAUUGAACCCCAUGAUUGAUAACUUGGAAGAAACCCCAUUUUUGGGAUGCAUCAGCUAUCUCAGAAACCAGGCGAGCUAAAUUAUCAUCAGAAACAGAGCUGUCUGGAGAGUUCAGAACAGAAAGAUCAAUUAAUGGGAUGCCUUCAACUUCAGUUCUUAUGAUUUUAGGCCUAUGUUCAAGAUCUUGGAUAAAAACUGGGUCUAUUGCUACUUCUCCCAUGGGGUAAAAUUGGUGACUUAUGCCUGUGCUAGGCAGCUCUAUUGUAUUUUGACUCCAAUGAUUUAUAAUACACUGAACCUGGACCGACUUUGUUAACAUCAAUGAACCUGGCAACUACGUGGAUGAACAAACAGGUUUGAAUUUUAUAUUGCAAGAUUUGGUAAUUAGUGCAAUGGAGAGAAUUGACAAAUAUUGAAACAAACAAACCUUGGAAUCAUCAUCGGAUCUUUUUAAGGUGCAAAUGAUCGAGGGCUUUUGCAUAAGUAUGCUCAUAUCCAUAAAUUGAACAAAAAAGAAGCACCUUGAAACAAAAAUUUAACAAGAGUGCGUCUACAAAAAUCAAUUAAAAAUCACGGCAUUAUUAAGUAUAGAUACAAAUAUAGAAAUCCCUAAAAUCAAGAAAUUCAGUCGCCUUAUAAUCUAUUUCUGUCGCUUAAUAUAUGAUUUUUCUAUUUGCUAAUACAUACAGCCCCUAAUGUCUGGUCCUAAGAGAGAUUUGAUUACUAUGGGAGCGCAGAAAGGUAAGAGAGCAAGUCCCAAUUGAAAAUUAAGACUAGACUUUCCCUUCUGACCAGAUGUAACUUCAAUGACUUAAAUGGCAUUUCCAAUCUUGAUUCAUUAUUAAUUCUCAAAACUUUCACACCAAAUUGAAAUGAAGGUGACCCUUGGCUUGCCAGCACUCUCAGUACGAGGAAUUCCAAGCUAAGAGUCAGAUUUUACAUCAUCGUACGACCUAAACCUAAGAGUCAGAUUUCCUUCUUUUUUUUUAACCGCAACGAUAAUAAUAUUUCUAUAAUUUAAUCUGUCCUAAUCUAGAUGGUAGGGUCUAAAGAGGCUAUGUAUAAGGGGCAGAUUUCACUUCUACUACCUUCGCGAAUCUCAUGUCCCACACAAGCUGAAGAAGACGAUCUGUCAGUUCCCAAAGUUCGGCCGGUAAACUAUCUACCAUCCUAAUACGAACGGCAAUGCCAAACAUAGAUAAAGACUAUCAAUACUGUAAGCAUUUCUCUUCUUAUGUUCUUCUUUUGUCCUGUGAUUAAGAAUAUGCAUGUGCUUAUCUGAUAUUCCACUAUUCUCUCUUUGGUAUCAUACUUAUGGGUGUAAUCUAAUACUAAACUCUUGUCAGAUCAUUUAAUAAUUUCAGCUUCUAAAAUUAUCUAAAAAUUAAUAUCUUUUUUUUUUUUUACAGAUCCAACAAUGAAUUUAAUUCUUUGAUCAAGAAAUUUUGCUCAAUUUCUUGCUUUGCUUUAGUGCUUGAAUUUUGUUACAUCAUUCAAUUAUUUAAAAAUUUAUAAAAUCAUCUAAAAACUAAUAUUUCUUUUGUACAGAUCCAACGAUGAAUUGAUACUCAUUAGGAUGAUACCAGAAAAUACCGUAGAACUCACCUAUGAUAAGAUAAGUACCAUCUCACAUCACACCUUGGCAUAUGCCCUAUAAAAACAGGCUUCACAUGUAAUCAGCUAUGGUUGCAAGUCAGAUUACAUGCUCAGAUCUUCUUAAUUUGGUCUCUCUGUCUCUAAUAAAUCUGCCAAAUGUACAAUUAUGGUCCACGGAUUAACGUUUGUAAACUACAAUAUAAGUGCUCAAUUUGAGUUGCUUCAUGGUUAUGCUUUCCUGACAUUCGUUCUUUCCCUGUUUUUUGUCAUUCAUCUGGUGAAACUCUUAUGUUGUAAUGUUUUUUCACCCCUAGUGUAAAAAGAUUUGAAAAAAAAAAAUAUGAGAGAAAGGGUUUAGAAGUUUGAAAUACAGAGUAGGUAGACUUGCUUGUCAUCCCCGUCUUACUUUUCUUAGGCUGGCAAAGAAUUUGAAUCCUGUUUUCAGUUCCAAAAAAAGCAUGAUCUCAAAUAUAUCUGAUGCCCGUCUUAACAAUUCUCUAGUGUUCUUAGGUUUUGCAUAUGUCUCAUGCUUUGGGUUUCUUCCUGAAUAAUUGGAAACUUGUUAACAAGUUGAGCUGUUAGAGAACAAAGGUUGCUAUUGAAGCAUGGCCCUUUUCUCAGGUACCCAAAUGUGGGAAAAGAAGGAUAUAGAAGCUCUCGUAGCUUAGUUUCUACGACUUUGGUUACGUUUUAUCUUUGCUUUUUCUCUGAUGUGAUUUUCUGAAAUUAAAGAAUUUGGAGGACGUGCAUGAUUUCAAAUAUAUUGGAUACUUUGCUAUUAGAUGCAGAUUGAGUUGAAUCCAAGAGAAAAAUGAGCUAAAAGUUUUGCACGUUCAGUUAUCACAUCUGUAUCGCUUUUCUGAUCUACCUUGAAAUGGUGGACGUAUUGUUAUUGAACCAAGUACAUAAGCAUCAACAUAAUAGAUAUUUCUGCAGUAUAAUCUGAAAGAUUGUAGCAAGAGAAAUUGAUUUCCAGCCAAAUGAUGUGAAACUGUGUGUUUGCUUGACUUUGUAAAUAUAUACUAAAAUAAAUUCUGGUUUUCUUUCACUUGUUCCUUGUUUUCUUCUUCCUAGAAACUUUAGUUGGCACCUGGUUUUUUUUUUUUUUUUUUUGUACAAAUCUGAGACCUCACAAGUUUCAUUUUAUUCCAUUUCACGGUUAAAUAGUCAUUCAAUUUAAUUUUUGUUACAUCGAAGGCACUUGUGAGUAGGGAUGAUGCUGAACCAAAUAACUCAACUCAAACUCGUUUUGAUCGAGUUUGAACUUGAGUUCGAGCUACUUAUUUGAGCUCACGAGUCAAGGUUGAGUUCCAAUAUUUUGUACACGAAAGCUCGGCAAGCCUAAUCGAGUUUUUAUAAUAUAUAUUUUUUUAAUUUUUUCAUAUUUAUUAUUGUGAAAUAUCAAUAAUAUCUUUUAUUUAAAAUUAUAUGUAAAAUAUUAAUUUGUAUUGCAUGAGUUUGAUUAGAGUCAAAUAGGUUCAAUUAAACUCGAAUAGGCUCGAUUGAAUUUAAUUUAAUUCAACUAGAUUUAAUUAAACUCAAAUUCGAGUUUGAGAUUGAUUUAGACAAACGGAAGUUGAGUUCGAAUUCGAGUUUGACUUCCAAAAGUUUAACGAGUUCGAACUCAAUUAUCUUAGCUCAAGUAGUACUCGAACUCUAUUCGGCUCAAAUGUAUCCCAAUUGUGAGGCCCGUCCACUAGUGCUGAACCAUUGGGGUCGUUACACUCAAGUCAUCUGUCAUCCACUGUGUAUGUUAGGUAACACUCAUCUGUCUUAUCCACUAUGUACGUUAGGUUACAACAGUUGCUGUUGUCAUCAAGAAUAAGGAGAAGAAGACCCAAAAAAAAGAAAAAAGCAUCCAACUCUAUUGCCAUUUAUUUCUUUUUCUUUCUGACCCUUAAUGAGCUCUCAGUAUCACCGGGUGGCCUAAAGUUACCACUAAAUUUCGUGCACAGCUCAGAAGCAAACCUCUCAUGGACAGAACAAGUGGAACUACUGGUGGCCGAUCAACAAAAAUUGAACACACCCCACAUCAAGAAUUCCCGUCAGCUCCCACCCAAGAUUUAGCAAUCCCUUCGGCCUCACUGCCAAUCCUUCCGGAUGAAGUCAUAAAUGCAAUCCUAUUAAGACUCCCGGUGAAGUCCCUCGUGAGAUUCAAAUGCGUUUCGAGAUCAUGGCUGUCCUUAAUAUCAAGCCCAGAAUUCAUCAAAGCCCAUCUCAAAUUCCAUACUUCCAGAGACAGCCAAAGGAUUCUCAUCAAGGGGUAUGUUGACGUUGAUGAUUGCGUAAAACAAUGUUCUCUCAACUGCUUAAUGUGUGAUGAAAUAUCUACUGAUGUUGUCAUGUUUGAUAAUCUCAACUGGGAAGUCCCCUCUCGGACCAUCGUAAUAGUUGGUAGUUCUAAUGGAUUAGUUUGCAUUGAUGCCAAUGUAAGUGGUUUAUUUCUGUGGAACCCAUCUACUGGAAAAUCCAAGGAAUUGCCUGAUUUAGACGUUGAAGUACCAGAAUAUUCUGACCAAUACUACAUUAUUUUCGGGUUUGGUUAUGAUGAGGUCAAUGAUGACUAUAAAGUAGUUGAGAUUAUCUGCACUUUUGAUGAUUGUGCUGUGCUAUCUUCUGGGCGGCGAGACGUUAACGUUUACAGCAUGAGAAAUGAAUCUUGGAAGAGGCUUGGGAAUUUUCAGGGCGGUUAUAUUGCUCAAGAGCAGUGUGGUAUAGUUCUGAAUGGGAAUCUCCAUUGGCCCUUAAAAAAAGAAGGUUAUCUAUCCAUUUGUUGUGUUGAUUUACCAUCAGAGACAUAUAGAGAGAUGGGGCUGCCAAAUUUGGACGAGUAUUAUGACUCAGAUAUAGAUAUUUUCCAAGGAAGUCUAUGUAUGCUGUGUAGGCAUAGUAAUGAAUACACUCACACUGACGUGUGGAUUAUGAAGGAAUAUGGGAUUAGAGAAUCUUGGAUGAAAGUGCUUAGCAUCCCCCACCAUGAAUCCUGGGCGUAUCCCAGUUAUAAACUACUGUGCACAUCAGAAGAUGAGAAAAUUUUGCUUAUAAAUGGGCCAGAUUUGGUAUUGUACAAUGCGAAGGAUGGUUCGUUUAAGAGUUACAAGGUUGGAUUGAGUAGUUCAUCUGCGGAUCUCCAGUUCACAUUGUCUGAUGCCUGCGUUUAUGUAGAAAGCCUGGUUUCACUGAAUCAGGAGCAACAAGUACAGCACUAAAGAUGAUAAAUUCUCAUCAUGCUCUCUAAAGUUUAGUAAUAUUCUUUUGUCAUCCUUUCUGCAGUGAAUCAAGGCCCUUUUUUUUUUUUUUUUUGUCCUAAGACUGCUUAAUUUUCCAUAUUGUGCUUCUAAUUAUGUUGAGUAGUUAGAAUAACUUUGCAUUGAAAUUUUUCCGUUCCAUUCGAAUCCAAUUAUUGAUGAAGUUGGGCUUAUUACUUUGAAGUUACAUAAUGUCGAGGACUUGAAACUCAAUUUUUUCCACAGCAAGAUAGGGCGACAAAGAUGGUUAGUUGGAAUUUGGCACAUUCAGCUAUCAUAACCAUUUUAUUCCAGAGUGUUGUUCUUGAGCUCAGCAAUUAUGCCUCAACAUUUACAAUGAUGAUCAGUAAUUUUCAUUUCUGACCUAAUUUGAGAUAAUUUGUUGUCACUUUUCGUCGGUCGAUAUCAAAUAAAACCUUGGUUUCUUUCGCUUGUUUUCAUCUUAACAGAAACUUAAGCUGCCACCUUGGAUCUGUUUGAUAGCCUCUCCUUGCUCGUAAUGCUUAGUAAGGCAGAAACCUAAGAACUUCGAAGAGCCAUAGAAUAACUUGACGAUUACCGUAACAGAACAUCCGUUAUAGUAUAUCACAACUGUGCUCUAAUAUAGUUUCUUAUGAUGUCAAAGAAAUGAUCAAAUUCUACUUAGUAUUUUGUUAUAGAUUUGACUAGAUACAGGUCACUUCGGGGACAUCCGAUAAAAUUGGAACGAUACAGAGAAGAUUAGCAUGGCCCCUGCGCAAGGAUGAUACAGCUUCAUGGUUUCUGCAAACAUUAGCUGCUUCUGAAGUGUUCAAUGAUUCUCUGAACUGAUCCAUGAGAUGCUUAUAAACCUCAAAAAACUGGUUUCUCCGAUGCAUCAACUCUAUGACCAAUGAUUUAAUUCUCUUUGCUUCGUAAUCGUGUUCACAAAUUUUCACUUCAGUUAGGUAGGCAGGUUUGCAGAUCCUCUUUAUAUGCUUCUUUGUGGAUCCUGCUUUGCAUUCUGCAGUACUUAUAGUUCUCCCUUAUAAGCAGUUAACUCUGACAAGCAAAACACACUAAACUUUAUGAUGGAAAAUCAAUGGGAAUUGAAGUAAACAAACAUAUUCCAAUCAUAUAAAUUGCCCAUGAUUAGAUCAUUGAAACUCUACACAGGCUUCGACUGAAAUCCUCCCUGAGAUUCAUUUGUCUUGUGAAAUCAUUACUUCGGUUAGCCUCUAGCCCAAUAUUAAUUCGCGACAACCCCUUAUCUCUCACCCAUAAUUCGCGAAAAGCCUCUCUCAACAAAUCCACUAACAAGAAGGAAUACAAGCGCGAUAGGCUCAUCGUACAAUCUUCAUCUCAUUCUCAUUACGCAAGCACCAUUGGCUCUGUUCAGACAAGCAACCAGAAUCAAGCUUAAUGAGAAAGAAGCACGAAGAAACAGAUUGACACCUUGUAUCUAUAUGUAUGCAGAGUAAGGAGGCAUAUUGAUGACCAUUUUAGGUGGAUCUGAAUGUCAAGAGGUAAUUAACUACCUGGGAGUCUUGGACCUAGAAGACGAUCUCAAGUGUCGAUACAAUGAAGGAAAUAUAUAGAUAUUACAGAUAAUGAUUAUUGUGGUUCAAGUAGAAGUGGAUUCAGAACUUGUUAAGCACCUUAUGACCAUCAUUUGGCAGCACAUUUGGUGGUUUAUCAGGAGUGAGUUCUCAUCGUAUUUGCUACGAGUUAUCAGCAAUUAUAAUCCAGUUUAGUUUUGAGUUUGCAAUUCUGAGGGAUAUCAGCUAAAAGAGGUACGUUUCUCAACUUGAAACUGAAAAAGCAUUGAAGAAAAUGUGCAAAUACGUAAAACGCCAAUAAGACUGAGAAGAGCAUCAAAGAAAAUAGGUUAUCAUACAGAUUCAAGAAAAAGCACUGUUGUACACCAAAAAUCAUAGCAUCUUCUGAUCUGUGCCAUUUAGCGGCUAGGACUUUUGUGAGGUUGCCUAGUCCAUCAUUGGGGAGUCUUCCGCAAACUAGAAUUAAUAUUUCAAAGCAAUGUCUAACAGAAGUAAUAUUCUAGGUCGGAAAAGGUUAUCCUUGAACAAUUUCACCUUUCUUUCACUGUGCACAA
rnacentral:lncRNA from 1 species